AUAUAAAACCUAAUAUAAAAUAAGAAUAACUUGUAGUUAGUUACAAACUAAGUACCAACAAUAGGACUGUGUUGAGACUUAAAAAAUACUUUCUUACUGUUUUUCAGACCUAUGGACAGACGUUUAUACAAGACGACACGUUUCUAGCCACCACUGGUUCUGUAGCUGGAGUUGUUCAUGCCCUCAGUCGAGUGAUUGUGGGCUUAAUUCAGGACAAAAUAUCUUACAAGUUAACGAUUCUUCUCUUGCUGGGAAUAAAGUCAGUAUUGCUGUUCACUCUGGUGGCGACACCUUACGGAGGAAAAGUGAUGUACAUGAUCUGGAUUUGUGGGCUCUUUGCAACAUUUCCUCUUAUUUUUGUUUGUAUUCCUGCUGCUAUUGCUGAAGUUUUUGGAACGAAACACACUGUUGAAAUUUUUGGAAUGGCACUUUUUACAUCAACAGCUUCUUUCUUUCUCUGGCCUUU
rnacentral:misc_RNA from 1 species